GGGGAGAAAGUCAACGAAGCUGCUUGCGACAUUGCCGGCAGGUGGCUGACGAGGGGAAUGCGCUGGUAGCAGUGGUGUAAGUCAGACGCCUUCAUACCUCAGCUGCAAGAGUGAAACUGAAGUUAAAAAAAUAUUCCAGCAGCAGUUAGAGGUCUUUGUGAAGAAGAGCAUUGGACUUCCUCAUCGCAGAGGUUAUAAGAGCCAUGAAGGCAGAAACUGUGUCUAUUUGGUCAGCACUGAGCACCCUGUGCCCUACCAUAGUCUCUAGCACAAAGCAGAUCCUUAAUCAAUAUGUGGCCGGAGCUGAGAGCUGCUCAGAGUUCCACACUGGACCUGGCAACAUUGAGUCACGAGUGACCAAGAAUGAAGAGCACUCGGCAGACCCAUCCCAGCUAGGACCUCGAAGAUGCCCACCGCUGAGCACCAGCCGCCAAGGGUUGCAGCCUCCACCCUGCUGCUCCUGGUCUGCACACGGCACUACUCUCCUUGUGGCUAGGGAAGUCUCUCCUGGCCUGAUUCUUGGCUUAUCUAUGAAUCUAAGAUACAAAGUCCAAGUUGUGAGUCAUCCAAAAGAAACUCUUGUGGAGGUAGAAACUACCCAGUAGUGCUUCAGCAGAUGAAUGGAUAAACGAAAUGUGGCACAUCCAUACAAUGGAGAAGUAUUCAGCUGUGAAAAAGGAUGUAGCUCUGAUAUAUGUUAUAACAGGAAUGAACCUAGGAACCAUCAUGCUCAAUGAAAUAAGACAAUCACGGUUGAACAAAAAAGCAUGACUUUACUCAUAUAAAGCAUCCAAAAGGGGCGAGCCCACAGAGACAGAAGUAGAUUAGUCAUCACCCAGAGCAGGAGGAAGAGGGAGAAAUUAGGAAUUUUUGCUUAAUAGUUAUAGAGUUUUUCUCUGGAGUGCAAAAACUGAGUAAACAUGAUGAUAGCCAGGUGUGGCCAGGUAUAGCCAGGUAUAGGCACACAUCUAUAAUCCCAGCACUCAGGAGGCUGAGGCAGGAGGAUCACCACGAGUUCAAGGCCAGCCUAGGCUACAUAGUGAGUUCAAGGCCAACCUGAAUUACAUAGGAGACCCUGUCUCAAAAAAUACAGUGAUGAUAGCUGCAGAAUGUUGUGAAUGCAACAGCACUGAACACUUAAAAUGAUUAAAAUGGCCAAUUUUAUGAUUAUAUAUUUUACCAAAAUCUUAAAAAUACAAAAAGCAAAAAGAGAAGUUCACUUUUGAAAUCUCUCCCAUUUCAAGAGGCGUCAAGGUCACAUUGGCUCUGCAAAUCUUGAGGAGGAGGAGAUUUCUAAAAUCAUGUCUAACAAUGCCAUGAUCAAUUGUCUUUGGCCCAGAUGCAAUUAAGAAUAUAAUAAACAUCAGGACAGGGAUUUAGCUCAGUGGUGCCUGCCUCACAAGCGCAAGGUCCCAAGUUCAAUCCCCAGUACCAAAAAGAAAAAAAGAACAUAAUGACCAUCAAGAAAGUCUUUGAGGGCCGGGGAUUUAGCUCAGUGGUUUCACUGCCUGCUGCACAAGCACAAGGACCUGCGUUCAAUCCCCAGUACCCCCUGCAAAAAAAUUUUUCUUUAAGAAGUCUUUGAAAACAAGUGUCUAAAGCACAUUCUGUUCUCCCUAAAUCAAACUUCCACAGCAACAGAUUUUAGAAGGAAGCUUUAAGAGCACACACCAUGUAGUUGUGAAUUGGAGGCUAAAAUGUAAAUGAAAGGCUUGACAAAUAAUUGACAGGUAGUUAACCAUAUCGAUCAGCUCAAGUCAAAGGAUUUUUGAAUGUGUUUUUCUCCAAACCACUAACCCUAGACACAAAAUUCCUUCUGGAAAACAGAUUUCUGAAAAAUGUUUUUUAAAAAUUACUUUCUGCUAUUUUUCCCAAGAAGCCUAGUGAAAUUAUUAAACAGACCUGAUGAGAGGGAACAUUUAUUUAAGCCUCAAAUGAGCAGCGCUGUGGUAAACACAGGUGCAGUCUAGCAGCUGGGCGUGUUGAAAAUUAUUGUGCUUGCAACGAAAUGUCAAGUGUUGAAAAAUUGACUACCAAACUUUGAAGUAAAAAAGAAAAAAAACCCUCCAAUCAUGAUUUUUUGGGGGGAAAAAAGAUGGACAGCCCAGUUUGCAUAAAUGACACUUCAAUUACCAGACUCCUCAAAGUACUUUUUACAGAAAGCACUCUGCCUACUAGUAAUCAGUCUUGCUCACAACUGGCUUAGGCUGUGGGACAUGGGGACCCAUGCAACACUUCCAAUUCAUCACUCCAAACAGGGGCUUCCUAAAGAAGAAACAGAGUCGGCGCCGGGUAGCAGGGCAGUCCCGAUGCCUAACCUGUCCUCUGCUUGCAGGCGCCUCCAUUGUGGGGGUGAACUGCCACUCGACCCCACAACUAGCCUGCAGACAGUGAAGCUCAUGAAGGAGGGCCUCGGCGGCCGCAGGGCUAAAAGCUCACCUGAUGAGUCAGCCCUUGGCCUACCACACUCCAGACUGCGGCAAGCAAGGCUUUAUUGAUCUCCCAGAAUUCCCCUUUUGGACUGGAGCCCAGAGUUGCCACCAGAUGGGAUAUUCAGAAAUAUGCCAGAGAGGCCUACAACCUGGGGGUCCGGUACAUCGCGGGUGCUGUGGGUUCGAGCCCUACCACAUCAGGGCGAUUUGGAAGAGCUGGCCCCAGAAAGGGGAUUUUGCCACCAGCUUCUGAAAAGCAUGGGGGCUGGGGAAGUGGUUUGGACAUGCACACCAAACCCUGGAUUAGAGCGAGGUAAGCACCAUUUCCAGCCCAAACUGGUUUGGAUCUGAAUACCGUAUGUCCAAGCGAGACCACUAAAAGGGCAGCUAAUUUGCUAUGUGAUGAUUAAAUUCUCUCCCGGAAAUGUUUAUAAAACAGCUUCAUGAGCUGAUCUGUGUUGAAGACUCUAAAAAUAUAGAAUAUAGGGCUGGGGAUUUAGCUCAGUGGUGCUGCUGCCUGGCUCGAAAGCACAAGGUCCUGAGUUCAACCCACAGUACCAAAACAAAAAAGAAUAUAGACUAUGAACAAUAUAUAUGGUAAUGAAAUGUUAUUUUUUUUGGUCUAAGAAAGCACCAUGUACAUGGGAGAUGCUAACAUUGAAUCAUGUGGAUUUAUGAGUCAAAUACAACUUAAACACAGCAAUAUUGUUUUAUGUCAAGAUUUGCAGGGCCAGGAAUUUAGCUCAGUGAUUCUGCUGCCUACCUCGCAAGAGCAAGGUCUCAAGUUCAAUCCCCGGUACCACAAAAAAAAAAAAAAGAUUUGCAGCAGUGGGAACAUAGUAGUAAACAAGAUACACAAGGAUUUUGCCCUCGAUCCUACAUUCCAGUGGUAGAGAUGAAUAAUAACAAGAAAACAAAUUUUUUUAUCAAGCAGGUGAAGGACAUGAGGAAUGCUACACAAAUGGAAAUCUGUGGUCUCUGAUUUGGAGACUCGCAGACUAUGGGGGAAAUGGAUAAGAAAUCCAAUAUAUGAUACAGUAGGGAAAUGGAUAACAAAGUAACAGGAGAAAAGAAUGACUAAGUCUGCCUAGGAGAAAGAUAUUCUAGAAAAAGGGUCUCUUGGACCCUUUUGAAGGCUGAGUAGAGAAGGAAGGCUGGAGAGUGGCCCACCCAGCAGAGGGAGCCAUCCCACAACACUCAGCAGACAUUCACCGAGCACAAUUUUGUCAGACACUGCUUUGACACUGUUGCCGAAAGCUGGAUGUCACACAGCCUGCGCCCCGCUCCGGGGGUUAGCAGAGUAGACCGAGACCCAGGCUGUUCCCGUGAUGGCGUGAGUUCACAAGAGGAGGAGCACAGGCGCAGCCACUUGGAGCCGAGCUAAUGGCCCACAGAAGCGAAAGACGGAGGGGGCCGAUGGAGGGUGCCUGAGCCUGCCGCUGCCUGAGCUGAAUUCUUCAGGGUGAAUUAUGUCGUCAGACACAGGAACAGCAUGCUGGAAGCUCUCGGGGUGGGAAGAGAACAGUGCAUUGAGAAACUAGAAGUCUAAGCACAGUGGAGGGAACCAGAGCUGAUAGAGGACACUUCAAAUAGGCAGUGAGAGGCCUGCAGUGUGUCAGGCGGCCCGUGUGAGGGUAGGUUUGCAAGUUAGUGAGUGCCACAGCCUUGCACACAUGCCUCCGAGAAGGGCUCUCAGCCAUGAGGAGGACUGAGCCAGAAGGAGACAAAGGGAAAAGAAGGGAGAAGGAAGGAAGCAAAUUCUGCAGAGGGAGAGGUACAGAAGCCAUUCAGAGCCGGACCACAAGGUACAGGGCAGAAUGUGAGGGUGGACAGGUCACAUACACUGGACAGAAAAUAUCCCCUCCCUAAAUUCUAAGCUUUUUAUCCCUAUACAUAUGUGAAAAAGAGGAAAUCUGAGACAAUUUUAGACAGUCAGUUUGAGGGGUCAAAAGAUCUUACUCUGCUUUAACGGACGCACUCUCCGAGUCUGAAGAUGCCCUGGGUUAUGUUGUAGCUCGGGGGACAGAGCGCUGGACACACAGGGCUGGAGCCUGAUGUUUUGUGCUUUGGUCCCACAGGGCCAGGGAAGGAAUACUGGCAGAGUCUCCGGAUCGCCUCAGGCAGGCCCUACAACCCCUCACUGUCCAAGCCUGAUGCCUGGGGGUGACCAAAGGGACAGCCGAGCUGAUGCAGCAAAAGGAAGCCACCACCGAGCAGCAGCUGAGAGAGCUUUUUGAAAAACAGGAGUUCAGAUCUACCCAGUAGCCACAACCUGACUAUCUUUGCUGAAUUCCUGUAUGUCUGGGCACUCCAUGUGUACAAAUAAGGAAAAGAUGGUUCAAAAGCAGUGUUUGCCUUAGUGCCAGCCUACAUGUAUACUUGGUAUUAGCCAAGCGAAGAGAAUCAUGAGUAGCAGUUGGCAGGUCUAAAAGUAUGUUAGAGUUUAUCUAGAAGCAACCAAAAUACAAAGUAAAUCUGAAACAGGUUUCCUAAACACCUGUCGUGUGUAAGGUAUUACAGAAAUCACUGCAGCAAAGGAAAAGUAAUCCAGACAUUAAUCCCAUUUCCAGAAAUUGGCAGGCUGAGAGGGAGCACAAGACCUGCCCUGUCAUGAGUGACACAGAGCCAGGCAGGGACAGGCGAGUGCUGUGGAAAGUGACUUCCGACCACUUCUGAAUGUGACUGCUAUUAAGGAACACAGUCUGUCCAAUGGCCCAGUAAUGGCAUACAAUCUCUGAAAUAAAAUGUGUCAUCUGUUCUGAUAUUUUGUAUUCUUUUCCAUUCCACCCUAGUUAGAAAAAUAUACCGGC
ensembl:lncRNA